GUAAUUGUCAUUGCAAUUACCUGAUUUACAUUUCUUAGAACGACAUGCCACAGAUUAGGUGAUGGUGGUGUCUUCUCUUACUUUGGAAAGCCAGCCUUAAAAACCAAGAGAGCUAUCUUCAAUUUCCAAACAGCAAGGAGGACAUUCUGUGCACCACAGGAACAGUAGUCACACAGCAGACAGGGAACAGCAAGAUUCAUGUCACCAGUGUCAUCGGGUGACGUUAAAUGAAUCUGCAG